rnacentral:rRNA from 1 species
GAAGGGAGCUUGCUCCCGGAUGUUAGCGGCGGACGGGUGAGUAACACGUGGGUAACCUGCCUGUAAGACUGGGAUAACUCCGGGAAACCGGAGCUAAUACCGGAUAGUUCCUUGAACCGCAUGGUUCAAGGAUGAAAGACGGUUUCGGCUGUCACUUACAGAUGGACCCGCGGCGCAUUAGCUAGUUGGUGGGGUAAUGGCUCACCAAGGCGACGAUGCGUAGCCGACCUGAGAGGGUGAUCGGCCACACUGGGACUGAGACACGGCCCAGACUCCUACGGGAGGCAGCAGUAGGGAAUCUUCCGCAAUGGACGAAAGUCUGACGGAGCAACGCCGCGUGAGUGAUGAAGGUUUUCGGAUCGUAAAGCUCUGUUGUUAGGGAAGAACAAGUGCGAGAGUAACUGCUCGCACCUUGACGGUACCUAACCAGAAAGCCACGGCUAACUACGUGCCAGCAGCCGCGGUAAUACGUAGGUGGCAAGCGUUGUCCGGAAUUAUUGGGCGUAAAGGGCUCGCAGGCGGUUUCUUAAGUCUGAUGUGAAAGCCCCCGGCUCAACCGGGGAGGGUCAUUGGAAACUGGGAAACUUGAGUGCAGAAGAGGAGAGUGGAAUUCCACGUGUAGCGGUGAAAUGCGUAGAGAUGUGGAGGAACACCAGUGGCGAAGGCGACUCUCUGGUCUGUAACUGACGCUGAGGAGCGAAAGCGUGGGGAGCGAACAGGAUUAGAUACCCUGGUAGUCCACGCCGUAAACGAUGAGUGCUAAGUGUUAGGGGGUUUCCGCCCCUUAGUGCUGCAGCUAACGCAUUAAGCACUCCGCCUGGGGAGUACGGUCGCAAGACUGAAACUCAAAGGAAUUGACGGGGGCCCGCACAAGCGGUGGAGCAUGUGGUUUAAUUCGAAGCAACGCGAAGAACCUUACCAGGUCUUGACAUCCUCUGACAACCCUAGAGAUAGGGCUUUCCCUUCGGGGACAGAGUGACAGGUGGUGCAUGGUUGUCGUCAGCUCGUGUCGUGAGAUGUUGGGUUAAGUCCCGCAACGAGCGCAACC